GGCCGAGCGUGCCGCCCGCGGCUUCAAAGAGGUAGCGUUCUAAAAUGCUUAAUAACUUUGUAACCGCUAAUCCUAUCCAUCUGAUUUAAAAAGUGAGGUAAAGCGGCUAUUCUAGGCUUUUUGCUGGUAUCACUAUGUCCUUUUCCGGGAUUCAGAGGCUCCGACGUGAUCGGGGCAACGUUAUCACAUUUUACAGCCUUGAUUCGUCAAGGAGACCCACGCGGCCCCUCUGUCUGAGCCAAACAGCAAAGGUUUUAGACUAAGUCCCACCCCCCUGUGUCCGGAUAGGUUUAAAAGGGUAAAGGUCCAGGCAAACCUCUGCCCAUGCUACCAUCUUCUCGACCAAUCAACAUAGGUUGCUGUGUAUGUUUUUGGCGGCGGGAGAUAAACAAAGAGAAACAGAGAGACGAGAGAGUAAUACUAAAGAAGAGUAAUUCUGCCAGCGUAAGAGAAAUAAAUACAACACGAGAUAUCUAGAUACAGUCACACACACACACAAAUACACAUACAUACACACACACACAUAUCCCAAGACAAAUUCAAACCAACAUGUCAAAACGGCGUUACACUACGGAAGAAGCCGUAGAAUUUAUUUGGUCUGGCGGACCGCUUAGCGAUGCAGCGGUGGAUUCCUCAGAUUCUGAAGCUGACAACUGGCAAGGAAGAGGAGUAUGAUCACGGGAUUGAUCCCUUCGAAGAUAAAAAAUACAGAGGAUGAGAGAGGGGAUGCACAAGCCCCUGUCCCCAUCAGUAGGCCUCCUUCAAACCGAGAGGGAAAAUAAUGUGGCCAGGAGGGUGCAGCAUCCAGACAAAAGGCCAAACCAAUGCCAGCCCCCCUGACAGUGAAAGGGAGAGGAAGAGGAAAAGGGAAAAAAACAUCUCUGACCCCAGAAGAGCCAGGAGCUGUUUGGAACCGACCUGAGGUGCCAGAUACUGCCCAACAACUACCACACUUUUGCCCGAAAAGAGCCCGUGGAGUCCAAGGUUUUGUUGGUGUGGAGUAUACUCCUGCACAAAUAUUUAGAAAUUGUUUUAACAACCAAGCUGUAAAUAUCAUCUGCAAGAACACAAACAAAAAUGCUGAAAAGGAGCAGGCUAAGGGGGAAAAGUUUGUUU